AAAGAGAAUUUACAAAAGAAACCAAUAAAGCAAAAUUGAUGAGUCUUUUUCACAUAUACAAUAAUUGGUCACAGGUGUGUUGUUUGCUUUUUGUAACCAUGGGCUAGCAGUGCUCUUGCAAUUGCGUCUACACCAUGAUUUUAAGGAUAAAUCCUUCCUUGUAUCACGGAUAUCUUGUUUUCAGCUGGCUUUUGGUGCCAACAGGUCCACAGCUUCUUCUGCUGUGUUCACGCUCUUCUGUAGGCUGUAAAAGAUGACAAAUUAGAGAUCUUUCGAGAUGAUGUCGGCUUCAAUUCAAUAAACCUUUUCCUGGGAAUUAUAGAACCAGGGGUCAAGGACAUUACUGAGAUUUCCUUCAUUAAAGACAACAUCUUGAUGAUUGCAUGUGUUUGAGCUUUCUUUGUUUUUUUAUCAAUCAUCCCUUCAAAAAAACACACACUAACUAACACCAAACAUUUAGCUUCAGUUUAAGGAGUCAUACUAAUCCACUUUUGUCUUGUUAGUAAUGACAAGCAUAGCAAUUAUAGUUUAACAACACCCUCUAUUUCCAUUCAACAAUUUUCAAUUGCUUUCAAUUGCUUCAACAUUUUCUCAAUUUAGUAAAGGACUUCUAGGAAUUCUUUAUGAGUAUCUAGUACAUUUUAAAUCCCAAAACCAUUAUUUAUAUGAAUUAUUCAAUAUUAUAGUGUAGUUUGUUUUUUUUUACUUCACAUUCUGGCUUUCAGAGCCAAUCAAUUUUGCAACAGGUGUUCACUUCUUGUGGUGGGGAUCACAAGAGGACAAAAUAGGAAUGGUUCUUGAGGUUUCAAACCAAGGAAGGUAUCCAGAGGGUACCCUACAUGGAAAUUGAACCAAACAUCUCUAAACUGAAUGAGGUCACACCACCCUAAAUCUAUGUUGAGCCACACA
rnacentral:lncRNA from 1 species